UACGGAGGGUGCAAGCGUUAUCCGGAAUCACUGGGUUUAAAGGGUGCGUAGGCGGUUAGAUAAGUCAGUCGUGAAAGGUUUCCGCUCAACGGGAGACGUGCGAAUGAUACUGUCUAACUUGAACAUAGAUAAAGUGGGCGGAAUGCGUCAUGUAGCGGUGAAAUGCAUAGAUAUGACGUAGAACACCGAAAGCGAAGGCAGCUCACAGUACUAUAGUUGACGCUGAGGCACGAAAGCGUGGGUAGCGAACAGG
rnacentral:rRNA from 2 species